CAGUCGCCGCGGGAAUACGUAGGUGGCAAGCGUUGUCCGGAAUUAUUGGGCGUAAAGCGCGCGCAGGUGGUUUAAUAAGUCUGAUGUGAAAGCCCACGGCUCAACCGUGGAGGGUCAUUGGAAACUGUUAAACUUGAGUGCAGGAGAGAAAAGUGGAAUUCCUAGUGUAGCGGUGAAAUGCGUAGAGAUUAGGAGGAACACCAGUGGCGAAGGCGGCUUUUUGGCCUGUAACUGACACUGAGGCGCGAAAGCGUGGGGAGCAAACAGGAUUAGAUACCCCUGUAGUCCCUGUCUCUUAUAC
rnacentral:rRNA from 1 species